UCCCAGCCCUGGGCCUUUCAGCUGCUCCCCAUCCCAGUUAACCCCAGAUGAGAACCAGCCAUCACAGCCCACGGAGCCCUGGUAACCGGCUCCACCUGAUCGGCCCUCCAUGCGCAGCUCCUGACGCUUGCAGCCCCCGACAGGGAUCUGGAUCCGCUCCCGUCAGCAGUUCUCAACUGAAGGAAGGGUUCGAGCCAGAUUCGUGAACCACCUCAAAGCCCUCGGAGAAGUGGGCGGGGAUUGUGCUGAUGCUAAUGGACACGUCCCCAGAGAGUCAGCUGUCCUCCUGGGCAUUUAGACCUAUAACGCUCCCCCCACCCUGAAAAAGACGGGGCUGUAGAAGCAGGCUCUAGAUUCCAGCUCCUCUUCUUGCUAACACAUCCCAUGUUGGUUUUUUUUUGGUUGUUUUUUUGUCUUUUUGCAAUUUCUUGGGCUGUUCCUGCAGCAU